rnacentral:rRNA from 1 species
GAUGAACGCUGGCGGCGUGCCUAAUACAUGCAAGUCGAGCGAACGGACGAGAAGCUUGCUUCUCUGAUGUUAGCGGCGGACGGGUGAGUAACACGUGGAUAACCUACCUAUAAGACUGGGAUAACUUCGGGAAACCGGAGCUAAUACCGGAUAAUAUUUUGAACCGCAUGGUUCAAAAGUGAAAGCCGGUCUUGCUGUCCCUUAUAGAUGGAUCCGCGCUGCAUUAGCUAGUUGGUAAGGUAACGGCUUACCAAGGCAACGAUGCAUAGCCGACCUGAGAGGGUGAUCGGCCACCCUGGAACUGAGACACGGUCCAGACUCCUACGGGAGGCAGCAGUAGGGAAUCUUCCGCAAUGGGCGAAAGCCUGACGGAGCAACGCCGCGUGAGUGAUGAAGGUCUUCGGAUCGUAAAACUCUGUUAUUAGGGAAGAACAUAUGUGUAAGUAACUGUGCACAUCUUGACGGUACCUAAUCAGAAAGCCACGGCUAACUACGUG